UAGUUGAGGAUACAACAUGUCAGUGACAGAAAAUAAUGCACUACAUGGCAUGUAAAGGAGAAAAUGGACCCAAGAAGUUGCGAAAGGUAUUUAUGGAGAAUCACAACAUCAGACAACAAGCUUGCAUGGCUAAUAACUGUCACACGCCAACAAUUACUGAGAUUAGUGGCAAGUAGGAUGCUAUAGUUACUAAUCAAACUAACAUUGCUGAAUCAUGCAUUUAGUGGAAAGUUCCCCUCGUCAUAUCUCUAUUGCAUUACACAAUCCUGAAAAUGAAGAAAACAGUUCAAAUCAAGACAAAUCUUGUGAACUUAGGAAGAUAAUCAGGGCAGAGGAAGAGGAGAAGAAGUAAUCUUUGAGAUGCAAAAUGAGAUCCUUAGAAUUAUGUAGCGCAUCACAAAUGGCUUACAUGAAUGCCACUUCUCGGUUAAUGUUAAAAAAAAAAACAAAUUGGCGAGUAACAAGAAA